CAGUAGCCACGGUAAUACGUAGGGUGCAAGCGUUAAUCGGAAUUACUGGGCGUAAAGCGUGCGCAGGCGGUUAUGUAAGACAGUUGUGAAAUCCCCGGGCUCAACCUGGGAACUGCAUCUGUGACUGCAUAGCUAGAGUACGGUAGAGGGGGAUGGAAUUCCGCGUGUAGCAGUGCAAUGCGUAGAUAUGCGGAGGAACACCGAUGGCGAAGGUAAUCCCCUGGACCUGUACUGACGCUCAUGCACGAAAGCGUGGGGAGCAAACAGGAUUAGAUACCCCAGUAGUCCCUGUCUCUUAUAC
rnacentral:rRNA from 1 species